rnacentral:rRNA from 1 species
AGAGUUUGAUCCUGGCUCAGGACGAACGCUGGCGGCGUGCUUAACACAUGCAAGUCGAACGAGACGAUUGAAAGCUUGCUUUUGAGAGUCGAGUGGCAAACGGGUGAGUAACGCGUAGACAACCUGCCGUAAAGAUGGGGACAACAGUUCGAAAGGACUGCUAAUACCGAAUGUUGUAGAGUUUCCGCAUGGGAAUCCUACUAAAGGUGGCCUCUACUUGUAAGCUAUCGCUUUACGAUGGGUCUGCGUCUGAUUAGCUAGUUGGUGGGGUAACGGCCUACCAAGGCGACGAUCAGUAGCCGGUCUGAGAGGAUGAACGGCCACAUUGGAACUGAGACACGGUCCAGACUCCUACGGGAGGCAGCAGUGGGGAAUCUUCCGCAAUGGGCGCAAGCCUGACGGAGCAACGCCGCGUGAGUGAAGAAGGGUUUCGACUCGUAAAGCUCUGUUGUCGGGGACGAAUGUGGAGAUGGUGAAUAACCAUUUCCAAUGACGGUACCUGACGAGGAAGCCACGGCUAACUACGUGCCAGCAGCCGCGGUAAUACGUAGGUGGCGAGCGUUGUCCGGAAUUAUUGGGCGUAAAGGGAGCGCAGGCGGGAAGGUAAGUCUAUCUUAAAAGUGCGGGGCUCAACCCCGUGAGGGGAUGGAAACUAUCUUUCUUGAGUGCAGGAGAGGAAAGCGGAAUUCCUAGUGUAGCGGUGAAAUGCGUAGAUAUUAGGAGGAACACCAGUGGCGAAGGCGGCUUUCUGGACUGUAACUGACGCUGAGGCUCGAAAGCGUGGGGAGCGAACAGGAUUAGAUACCCUGGUAGUCCACGCCGUAAACGAUGAAUGCUAGGUGUAGGAGGUAUCGACCCCUCCUGUGCCGGAGUUAACGCAAUAAGCAUUCCGCCUGGGGAGUACGGCCGCAAGGCUGAAACUCAAAGGAAUUGACGGGGGCCCGCACAAGCGGUGGAGUAUGUGGUUUAA